rnacentral:rRNA from 1 species
GACGAACGCUGGCGGCGUGCCUAACACAUGCAAGUGGAGCGACGAACCAGGCUUCGGCCUGGGGCAAAGCCGCGAACGGGUGAGUAACACGUGGGUAACCUGCCCUGAUGAUUGGGACAACCCGAGGAAACUCGGGCUAAUACCAAAUGUGCCCUUCGGCCACAAGGCCGCUGGGGAAAGGAAGCUUCGGCCUCCGCAUCUGGAUGGGCCCGCGGCCCAUUAGCUUGUUGGUGAGGUAACGGCUCACCAAGGCGACGAUGGGUAGCUGGUCUGAGAGGACGAUCAGCCACACUGGGACUGAGACACGGCCCAGACUCCUACGGGAGGCAGCAGUGGGAAUCUUGCGCAAUGCGCGAAAGCGUGACGCAGCAACGCCGCGUGGGGGAAGACGGCCU